rnacentral:rRNA from 1 species
UGAGGAACAUGACCUUCGGCGGGGGAUAGCCGGCCCAACGGCCGGGUAAUACCGCGUACGACCAUUUGGGGACAUCCCCGAGAGGUGAAAGCAGCAAUGCGCCGAUGGAGUGCCUCGCGGCCUAUCAGCUAGUUGGUGGGGUAAUGGCUCACCAAGGCGACGACGGGUAGCCGGCCUGAGAGGGUGACCGGCCACACUGGGACUGAGACACGGCCCAGACUCCGUACGGGAGCAG